UUGAAAGUGAUGCAUCAAUAACUUGUGUAAUUCAAUCUACCAAAUAAUUUAACUUAUUCUUCCCUGCAUCAUUGAAUCUAACACUUUUUUUUUCCCUAGCCUUAAUGCAGUUGUGUAUGGGAGUAACUGUUGGAUCAGGGCAUACAUUCUUACCUUAUAAUUAUUUGCUCUAAGUUUUCAAGCUUUUCCAUGCCUUGGGCUUUCAUUGUCAGCUUCUUGAUGCCACAAAAAGCUAAAAUAAUCUAACAUUGUGGACAGUUGCAAAAAGCUUUUAUAACAGUGCCUCACCAACUAGUACCUUUGAAUUUUAUUUUUGGUGUUGUGCCUCUCAAUGCUUCGCUCCAAAUGGAUCUUGGGUUAGUCUCGUGGAGGAUUGUAUCUGACAUUACUAAGGAUAGGAAGGUCCUUAAGAAGAUCUUGAAGGAAGGAGAGGGAUAUGAAAGACCAAAUGAUGGAGCUAUGGUUCUAGGUACAGUUUUGCUAAUAAAAGCUUUUAAAGGUUUUUGUACUUUGAUUUCAUUUGUAAAGUUGAGAAUAUUAUGUCUUCAUUUUCUUUAGGUUUUUUAGUUUUGACAAAGUUGGAAGAUAUACUUGAUUACUUAUAUAAUGCUAACAUGUGUUUAGUUACUUUGUUAUGCUUAAAAUUUAGUCUUGUAGUUGUAAAUCAUGUUCAUUUAAUUAGGCUUAUUUCGAUUUUUUAAUAGAUGAUAAAUAAUUUAUAAGUAGCUUUAAUUUUGGGCAUGAAUUCAUAAUCAGCAUUUUAUAAUUAUAUAUAUUUUUUUUAAAAGCUUGGAUUUGGCUGCGAAAUCGCUAGCAAUGUGUAGCUAGAGAUUUAUUGCGAAAUUGUUGUGAAAUAUCCUAGCGAUUUAGUUAGGAAACAUAAACGUUUGAACAUUAUUUAACUAGGCAUUAAUUGGGAACUAGCUAGGAUAUUCAAUAUAUUAGUUGCAAAUUAGCUAGGAAAUUUUUUGAUAGGUGAUUUGCCACCCAAUCCAUGCUACGCCCUGUACGACAGCUAAUUCACAACAAAUCUGUAGCUAACUCUGUUUUACUAGAGAUUAGCUACGGAUUAGCUACAAAGGCCGUCGUAGCAAA